rnacentral:rRNA from 1 species
CCUACGGGAGGCAGCAGUGGGGAAUAUUGCACAAUGGGGGAAACUCUGAUGCAGCGACGCCGCGUGAGCGAUGAAGUAUUUCGGAAUGUAAAGCUCUAUUAGCAGGGAAGAAAAUGAUGGUGCCUGCUUAAGAAUCCCCGGCUACCUACGUGCAAGCAGCCGCGGUAAUACGUAGGGGGCAAGCGUUAUCCGGAUUUACUGGGUGUAAUGGGAGCGUAGACGGUUGUGCAAGCCAGAUGUGAAAGCCCGGGGCUCAACCCCGGGACUGCAUUUGGAACUGUGUGGCUGGAGUGUCGGAGAGGCAGGCGGAAUUCCUAGUGUAGCGGUGGAAUGCGUAGAUAUUAGGAGGAACACCAGUGGCGAAGGCGACCUGCUGGACGAUGACUGACGUUGAGGCUCGAAAGCGUGGGGAGCAAACAGGAUUAGAUACCCUGGUAGUC